rnacentral:lncRNA from 1 species
CAAUCAAUAAUCAAAACGAAUUAAACGAAAUAACAUUUACAAUCAAAUAGUUAAGAUGUAGCUAGAUCACUUCACUUACUUUUGUGAUAGAUACCCAAUGAUCGAGCGUCUUGAUAGCUUUCCCUGAACGUUGUGUAUCACGAGCCAAAAGAACUCCUUCAGCUAAAUUUGUAACACGGCCGCUAACUAAAAGAGCUGCUGCUGCAUUUAGGAUCUAGCCAAAGUUGACAAUGAAUAGAUGUUCCAAACAUAUGAAGUAAGAAAUGACAUUGAUAUAUUGCUGAAGGAGACUCACAAGUGCAUCUGCAACGGAACCUUUUUCUCCUGACAGUACACGCUUUAAUGCCUCAGCAUUAUACUCUGGACCUCCACCUCGCAAAUCAUCUACAGUGCAUCGAGGAAUUCCAAAGUCCACUAAUAUCAAAAUUUCGAUUUUAUUAGAAUGAAAAUGAAGACAAACUUUAGCAAUAAGGAUAAUGAAUUAUUCCCAAAGCACAAAUACCAACAAGCAUAAGAAUAUGCCAGUUGAUAACUUGAGCCUAAUCUCACAUGGAUCGAAGGAGAACUUCUCAAUCUUGUUAGGAGUCACAUCAAGGAUAAGUCCAGGUCCUAUAUUCAAAUCAAUUAGACAAAAGUUAGGAUUUCCAUAUUGGUGCAUAGUAAGAUGCUAAGCAGUAAGGAAUAACUAUUAAGUUAUACAACAAUAGAAAGGAAACGAUUGUUUUAAAAAUGCCAAAUAAUUAUAAUCUCGUAUAUAAAAUAGAAUGUCUACCGAGAGGACUCAUUUCGUCCAGUCCCUCAGAAUGAACAACCAAUGCUCUUUUCAUGCCAAAGCUUUGUAAUGCUUCAGCCAUCUUCAAGACCUAUACAAUUAAGAAAUAAACCACAUGCAUAUGAAAAUAGUUAAUUUUAUGGUAAGGUCGGAACUUUAGCAACAUGUGCAUUGUGUCAACUAAAGUCUAGCGCAUUCUGUUCUUUGAGGCCCUUACCAAAUCUUCAGUGUAUACACCAACUACGGCAAAAGGGACUUUUGCCGGAUUCAACAUAGGUCCCAAAAUGUUGAAUACAGUUUUUACUUUUAGUUUUUUCCUCACAGGACGAACGAUCCUCAUUGCUGAAUGAUACUUUGGUGCCAUCAUAAAACCAAUGCCCACUUCAUUAACACAUCUCUUGACCUCCUAUUUCAAACAAAAACCAAUAUAAAAAUUUGCAUAAGCAUAUAUGCAAGUUGUUAACUUCUGAAUUAUUUCGCUGUUUAUAUUCACACAAAAAAAUCACCAAAGUUAAUUUGUUGAUGGAAUUAGAAAGUUUAAUGCUAUUCUCGAGUCAAUGUAAUGUUCUUGCAGCUUUAAAACUAAACAACUAUAGUGACCAAUAGGGUUCGGAUAGGCCUUGUUUAUGGCAUUCAACCUGCCCAUCUGACUAGAGAAGACUCUACUAUACCAUCAAUCCAUCUUUCUAAAGCAAAUGUCCAAAGAACCAACCUGAGGGCCCAAUUCAAUGACUAUGUCCAAAGCUUCCAAUACAUCUGCACUUCCACAUGCAGAAGAACUUGAACGAUUACCUUGCUGAAAUACAAACAACUUUCUAACAUUAUUCAUAGUUCAAGUAAAGCAGUGCAGCAAAAGAAAGGAAAUAUCGUCAAUGAUUGAAGAAAUGUAACCUUUGCAACUUUAGCACCACAUGCUGCAGCAAGUAUUGAAGCCCCUGUGGAAAUGUUUACUGUGUUUGCGCCAUCACCUCCAGUUCCGACAAUGUCAACUGCAUCAUCCAAUCCCUCAAUCGGUAAACUGUGUUUCAUCAUUGCCUUUGCC